GCCUGGGUGGCUCAGUCGGUUAAGCGUCUGACUUCAGCUCAGGUCAUGAUCUCGUGGUUCGUGAGUUCGAGUCCUGCAUCGGGCU
rnacentral:tRNA from 1 species